rnacentral:rRNA from 1 species
CAAAAGUUUGGUCCUAGCUUUAUUAUCAAAUGUUUCUUAACUUACACAUGCAAGUCUCAGCACACCAGUGAGAACGCCCUUAACUUCUUUUCUAGAUAAAGGAGCUGAUAUCAGGCACAGAACACUUGCCCAUAACAUCUAGUCUCACCACGCCCCUAAGGGAAUUCAGCAGUGAUAAAUAUUGCCAAUAAGCGACAGCUUGAACCAGUUAAAGAAAAGAGAGCCGGCCAACCCGGUGCCAGCCGCCGCGGCUACACCGUCGGGCUCAAGUUGAUAAUCAUCGGCGUUAAGCGUGAUUAAAAUUUUAUAUAAUUAGAGUUAAACUUAUGCUCAGUCGUGAAAAGCUUGUUAUAAAGAAGAUCAAAAACGAAAGUUACUCUAACUAUUUGAAUUCACGACAGCUGGGAGCACAAACUGGGAUCAGAUACCCCACUAUGCCCAGCCGUAAAAAAUUUAUUUACAUCAAUAAGCGCCAGGGUAUUACGAGCGCAAGCUUAAAAUCCAAAGGAUUUGACGGUGUCCCACCCACCUAGAGGAGCCUGUUCUAUAAUCGAUGAUCCUCGAUUUACCCUACCAUUUCUUGCUUUCAGCCUGUAUACCUCCGUCGCAAGCUUACCAUCUGAAUGAAAAAAGUAAGUUUAAAGGUCUUCCACCAAUACGUCAGGUCAAGGUGCAGCUAAUGAAAUGGAAAGCAAUGGGCUACAAUUUCUAUAAUAGAACAAACGAAACACUACAUGAAAAAUAGUCAUGAAGGCGGAUUUAGUAGUAAAGGAGGAAUAGCGCGCUUCCUUUAACAAGGCUCUGGGACGUGUACAAACCGCCCGUCACCCUCUUCAAUUUUUCCUUUUUUGAUUAAUAACAUCCUUUAAUAUUUUAGAAGAGGCAAGUCGUAACAUGGUAAGUGUACUGGAAAGUGCACUUGGAAAAU